AACGGCAUGAACGUUCACAAUGCAUGCAAAGCACAUGCAAAUGAAAAAAGCAAUCCUAAUCCAUCCCCCUACUCAUUAUGAUGGAACACUAAAUAAUAGGGUAAUCCAUAAACUCCAUGACCUAAACGCUUAGCCAUCUUUGCAAAGCCCUCACUUUCAAUAAGGUGGUAAAAAGGGAAGGUUGGGAAUAAUGCGCCAUCCCUAUGAACACUUGCCUUCACCAGUAAAGCAGUGGUGCCUACACCGUCAAGAGCCAUAAUUGUAGAUGGAUCUUUGUGCUCCUCAUAAAUUUUAGCCAUCAACAUUCGAUAAGUAGGCAAUUCAGCAUAUCCUUCAAGCAAAAUCUCAUCCCUGUCCAUGUGACUUGCAAGCUCCUGCGCGGUUUGAGAAUCGACCCAACUAUUGAAGUCAUAAGG